UCCUGGCUCAGGAUGAACGCUAGCGACAGGCUUAACACAUGCAAGUCGAGGGGCAUCAUGAGGUAGCAAUACCUUGAUGGCGACCGGCGCACGGGUGAGUAACGCGUAUGCAACCUGCCCGAUACCGGGGUAUAGCCCAUGGAAACGUGGAUUAACACCCCAUAGUACUUUUAUCCUGCAUGGGAUGUGAGUUAAAUGUUUAAGGUAUCGGAUGGGCAUGCGUCCUAUUAGUUAGUUGGCGGGGUAACAGCCCACCAAGACGAUGAUAGGUAGGGGUUCUGAGAGGAAGGUCCCCCACAUUGGAACUGAGACACGGUCCAAACUCCUACGGGAGGCAGCAGUGAGGAAUAUUGGUCAAUGGACGAGAGUCUGAACCAGCCAAGUAGCGUGAAGGAUGAAGGUCCUACGGAUUGUAAACUUCUUUUAUAAGGGAAUAAACCCUCCCACGUGUGGGAGCUUGUAUGUACCUUAUGAAUAAGCAUCGGCUAACUCCGUGCCAGCAGCCGCGGUAAUACGGAGGAUGCGAGCGUUAUCCGGAUUUAUUGGGUUUAAAGGGAGCGCAGACGGGUCGUUAAGUCAGCUGUGAAAGUUUGGGGCUCAACCUUAAAAUUGCAGUUGAUACUGGCGUCCUUGAGUGCGGUUGAGGUGUGCGGAAUUCGUGGUGUAGCGGUGAAAUGCUUAGAUAUCACGAAGAACUCCGAUUGCGAAGGCAGCACACUAAGCCGUAACUGACGUUCAUGCUCGAAAGUGUGGGUAUCAAACAGGAUUAGAUACCCUGGUAGUCCACACGGUAAACGAUGGAUACUCGCUGUUGGCGAUAUACGGUCAGCGGCUUAGCGAAAGCGUUAAGUAUCCCACCUGGGGAGUACGCCGGCAACGGUGAAACUCAAAGGAAUUGACGGGGGCCCGCACAAGCGGAGGAACAUGUGGUUUAAUUCGAUGAUACGCGAGGAACCUUACCCGGGCUUAAAUUGCAAAGGAAU
rnacentral:rRNA from 1 species